UCCAAGGUUCCGUCCCACAGUGUCUCCAGUGCUGGCCACGGAGCGACAAGGUCAGGUGUGUAGCAGGGCCGGCCAGCACCAGGGGCCACYGAUGCUCGGGAGAAGAUGCAGGGGAGCUGCGCGGGGACAGGAGGGCCUGCGUGAUGGCUCAGAGGGAUGGCCCAAAUCCACUGCAGGCCAGAGCAGGCUCAGGCCAGAUKUCAGUUUUCUCUUUUCUCCAGUUUUCACUUUGCUCCCACGCUGCAAGAUGGACUGCCGGUGGGAAGGAGGCUGCUGCGGGCAGGCCUAGCACUGCCUGCACUGUGCAUCACCUGUCCCGGGCAGAGAGAGGACAAGAGGCCCUGGGGCCAGAGCCCGCUGGCUUCACGGCCUUCCCUGCAAAUGCCUCCUUUUCUCUUGCAGGCUUUGGAGACGGACAGCAUGGCUGGCUGGGGCAUCCCGGAAGCAAUGGAAUGGGAAAGCUAUGACUGCAGUGGCCAGGUACUGCCCCCGCAGCCAGCUGGCUGCACGGGGACAGAUGGGRCCUUGGUUUUCCAAGAGCAUCCAGAGGGGAUCCUGGCAGAGGUGCUYGCCAGCCUCUUGGAGAGGAGCUGGCCUCGCAGAGGCCGGGGGGCAAGUGGCACAGCUCCUGCAGCUGCGGGGGGGAAGGUGGAGACACGUGCCUGGCACCAGGGCCCUGACGCCUCCCAGGCCCUCUCCCAGCUGCACGGAAGCAGUUGCAGCAGCAGGCAAAGCCCAGCGAACAACCAUCCACACGUGCCUUGCAGCCAGUGACAGAGGCAAACUCUUCGGGGCGCUUCCUAGKGGAAAYCUUUCUCAGGGCUCCCUUGUGCACAGUCUUCUGCAGUGCGGGAAGAGGGACUGCUGGUGGGAGAGAGCCCACUCCAGGCAGACAGCAGUGCCUGUGCUGUGCACCGCCUGCCCCAGGCCGGGGGAGGAAGAGAGGCCCUGGGGCCAGAGCCCACUGGCUUCGUGGCUUGCCCUGCCAAAGCCUCCUUUUCUCUUUCAGGCUCUGGGCACCGACAGGCUGGCUGGCAGCGACCAGCCCGAACCCAUGGAAUGGGAGAGCUAUGGCUCCAGUGGCCAGGUAUUCCCCCUGCUGCCGGCUGGAUGGGGACUGAUCGGGGCUUGCUCCUUCCUCUGUCUCCCAAGCAUGUCAGCUGAGCAAGUCCUGGGAGAACAGGCCAGGAGGCGUCCUCAGGACACUGCGAUGCCUUUGGCUGCAGAAAACCCAUCAGCCUCCUCCUCCUGCAAGCACUUCCUGGGCAGGCGCACUUGGGGACAAGCUCUCAGCAGUGCUCAUGGGAGCGCGGCACUGCUGUCACCUCCCGGGUGGGCAAAAAGGCCACAGGCRCUUGCCACCCUCCUGGAGAGGAGCUGGCCACUCAGAGGAUUUGAGGGCAAGUGGCACAGCUGCC
rnacentral:lncRNA from 1 species